rnacentral:lncRNA from 1 species
CCUUGGUAAGGAACUUGAGUCAUUUUUUUAAUAAUAAAAAGUUUUCUGCAUCGGUCAGGACAUUAGUCAGAGCAGAGUCAACGUUGGUCAAGUCAACUUUUUUAACUCUUUAAAUUAUCUUUUUUAAUCUUUUUCUUGCAUCAAUAAAUUAAGUAUUAUAAUCUACCUUGACAUUAAAUUUGAAGUCGAACCUUCAAAUAACAAAAAAGUUAUUAGCAUUUUACAUCGGUCAGGACAUUAGUCACGGGAGUACGUAGUUGGUCAGGUCAAGUUUUCUAACUCUUGAAAAUAAUUUUUUUCUUAUUUUUUCUUAUAUUUGUGUAUCAAAUGUAUUAAUCUUCCUUGGUAUCGAAUUUGAAGUCUAUCCUGUCAAUUAUAAAACAUUUUUUAGCCGUUUCAUAUCGGUCAGGACAUUAGUAGUUUCAAAGUCAAGUUGGUCAGGUCAAGUUUUCUAACUCUUAAAAAUAUUUUUUUAAUUUUGUUUUAAUUUUAUUUAUUAAAUAUAAGUUCUCAUCUUGCUUGAUUCCAAAUUUCAAGUAAAUCCUUCCAAUAAUAAAAAAGUAUUAAGCAUUUACAUUUCUGUCAGGACAUUGUCA